rnacentral:rRNA from 1 species
AGCGCAGGCGGGCCGGUUAGUCUAAAGUGGAAUCCCAGGGCUCAACCCUGGACGUGCUUUGGAUACUGCCGGUCUUGAGUUCGUGAGAGGAAAGUGGAAUUCAGGGUGUAGCGGUGAAAUGCUUAGAUAUCCUGAGGAACACCAGUGGCGAAAGCGACUUUCUGGCACGAAACUGACGCUGAGGCUCGAAAGCAUGGGUAAGCGAACG